UAUAUAUAUAUAUAUAUAUAUAUAUAUACAGUAAAUAAUUUAAGUUUGGAACACAGCAUCAUUGUUUUCAUGUGUGCACAACAAUCAAGUUCAUCCCGCACAGCGAUGAUGUCAGUGACGUUAUCGUUCGUGUUUUUCCGGGGGGACUCGGACAUGCACGAGUCAGCGAGGCGGGAAAGAAACCAAAAAAGAAAAUGGCUCCGGACACUGCAACAAGCGAAGACAUCAAAAGCGAGACAUACCAGGUCCUCCAUGAGGGCCAGACCCUCUCCGUUGGGCAGCGAGGAUCUUCUCUUCACCGCCAGCACCUCGCAGCAGGCCUGGUCCUCAUUUAGAGUGCUCUUCCCCGAAUUGAUCACCCUGGGGAGAGAGCAUGUGACCUUCUUAUGACAGAAAUAAAAAGUCUGUCGUGACGGGGUUUUCGCAGCUUACUGCGGGGUUCGUUCUCCCGAAAUGCAGAUGGACCACUCCGGACAAAGUGUGCAGAUAAGAACAUGAUUUAUUCUCAAAAAUAACGGGAAGUACCAAAAACAGAAAACAAGCAAAAGGAAUAAUGUGCUGAUCGCACUCGAAACUAAGCUACCACUUAGCAUGGACUAGAAACAAGCAACACUUACGUAGACAAGGCUAGGAGACAAGGAAAACUUACGUUGACAGGUUGCAUGAAGCAAAUAAUGACGCCAGCCUGAGCGUGGCGAGCGAGGUGAAUAAAUAGCGCUCUGAUUAUUGGUUGACAGCAGCUGAGCUUGGGACCACUAACCAGAGGCAGGUGAACCCAAUUAAUCCCCAUGGUGACCAAAAUAAACCGAGGAGUGCAGAAAACAGGAACUAAGGGAGUCCAAAACUAACAUAACAUAACAAAAACAUGAUCCGGACCACGGAUCAUGACAAAGUCAACACUACAAAAUAGCUAAAUCCUUUGGUUUCUGCCCUCAAAAUCUUCCUAUUAUCCCCUGAGUUUGUAAACAUUGUCAGAAAUGACAAAAAAAUACUUUGUUAGCAUAACAAUGUCGAUCAGUUUGUAUAGCUGCAUACUUGUCGCUUCCAUCUACACUUCUCAAAGUUUACUCAGCACUUGUUUCUUGUUUCGGUAGCUUAGCGAUUAGCAUGUCGUCUUGUCUUCUCCUCUUUGUUCUUACUCGCUGUGUAACAUGUUUAGCAUCUGUCAACCAGGGGACCGCAAAUAAAUACAGUGUCAGGCAGAGGGGUUUGGCUUUUGUGAUCGGCAUUGGAAGGCAAUCAUGGAUC